rnacentral:misc_RNA from 1 species
AAGUCGUAACAAGGUUUCCGUAGGUGAACCUGCGGAAGGAUCAUUACUGAUUUGGCGGACCGAGCGUCAGCGAGGUUCCGCGAUCACCUGUAUUUAAAACCCACACUUUGAACGUAAUGUAUAUUUUUGUAUUUUUAAUAAUAAAAAGAUCACUUUCAACAACGGAUCUCUUGGCUCUC